UAAGGCAGCAACUCUACCACUACGCCAUCAAUAUUUAGUCUAGGGUACAGAAGGUCAGGAGGCAACAAGGAAUCGAUGUAAGGAUAAGCAGCCAUAAAGGUUUGCGCAAGGGAUAAUUCCCAGAGGAUUUUGUGGUGUACAGAUCGAGCUAAUAAAAUUGGUUUGGGCUGCUGAUGUUUAUGUGUUUGAACCCUUAGGCCAAUGAUCCUUGACCCCGCAGACCCAACAGGUAACGUUGCUGCAGCAGCGAGAUGGGAUCUAGUGGCAGAAGCGGCCAAGUACUGUUUACAGCAGAAGUGUGUGAAAGAUGUCAACUCCUGGGACGUUAAGCCAGGGAAAGACAUUUGAAAUCACUUUGACCGGCCUGGAUGGUAAUUCAUUACGACUAACGGACAACAUUUAUUUCAAGGUCUCUGAGCUCAAACGCAACAUUCAGCAAAAUUGGACCAUUCCAGUCUCCCAACAACGCCUGGUAUUCAGUGGCACCAUUUUGGAUGAUAGCAACACAUUGUUGGAUGCCAGGAUCUUCUUUGAUGCAACGAUCAUUACCCCAUUCCUGCCUUCUCCCCCUAUUAUCUGACUCUGCUAUUUUUAAGAGCCCUAUCUAGCUCUCUCUUGAAAGCAUCCAGAGUACCUGCCUCCACCGCCCUCUGAGGCAGAGAAUUCCACAGACUCACCACUCUCUGUGAGAAAAAGUGUUUCCUCGUCUCCGUUCUAAAUGGCUUACUCCUUAUUCUUAAACUGUGGCCCCUGGUUCUGGACUCCCCCAACAUCGGGAACACGUUUCCUGCCUCUAGUGUGUCCAAGCCCUUAACAAUCUUACAUGUUUCAAUGAGAUUCCCUCUCAUCCAUCUAAACUCCAGAGUGUACAAGCCCAGCUGCUCCAUUCUCUCAGCAUAUGACAGUCCCGCCAUCCCGGGAAUUAACCUUGUAAACAUACGCUGCACUCCCUCAAUAGCAAGAAUGUCAUUCCUCAAAUUAGGACGAUUCAGCAUGUUCAUCCCCACAUGAGGGGCAGUAGAUAAGGUUGUUUGGCGCUUUGUAACUUGGUCAGCGACAGAUAGGUGGGGACACUCUUGUAUAGCCUAGGUUGUGUGCAAAACAAAGCAUUUCACUGUACCGAGGUACCCUACCCUGAUAGGUACAUGUAACAAUAAAAUAUCAUUCAUUCAUUCAUUUGUGCAGUCUCAGUUCACAUUCCCCACACCCCUCAGACCUCAACAAACAUGCUCAACACUCAGCUCUCUAUCUGGGCAGUUUAAACUCUAUUUACAACCUUCACCUUGUGCACACACUUACAAUGUUCAAAUGACAAUGUGGAUGCCCAUAGCUACUGAUUUUCAAACUGUGGACGAAAUAAAUAAUAUCCUUUCUUACUUAAGUUUGAUCGGAAUUGAACAAGGUAACGAAAGUGUGUGCGGAGGUGGCAUUUGGCAUCUAUCGUUGACCAGGUGCAGAAGAGGAUCGUGAGAAUCGGCAAAAUAAGAUUUAGACGCAUUCCCUCUUGGUGAAUGUAAACAUAACAACAUUAGGACUGAGAUAAGGAAGCCUGUUUCGCCGUGGGAAGUUACAUUAGACCACCUGUAGCGUAGAAAUGUUGCCGUAAAUGGGGGCUUAUGAUUCGCUCUGAGAGGGGGCAGUGGCACGACAGUGGACCAUUUUCCCACCACCUGUUCAUCCAGGCGAUCUUAUGUGACUAAUAUCCGCAAAUGCAACUGGGGCAAUAGACAAUAGGUGCAGGAGUAGGCCAUUCGGACCUUCGAGCCAGCACCGCCAUUCACUGUGAUCAUGGCUGAUCAUCCCCAAUCAGUACCCCAUUCCUGCCUUCUUCCCAUAUCCCCUGACUCCGCUAUCUUUAAGAGCCCUAUCUAGCUCUCUCUUGAAAGUAUCCAGAGAACCGGCCUCCACCGUGUUUGACAUAUUAACCAUCUGUUGUUGAAUAAGAUUAACAUAAAUAUAAACUAUAUUAUGACUAAUGAAAUCAUUAAUACCCAUGUAGUGGAUGAUAGUUAUAGGAAAACAUAUAGCCAAGGACGAAGUAUAUUUUCGUACAUUUGUAUCUAACACAAAAUAAAACUAGGUUAACUGCACAGUAUAACUGUCGGCUAAUUCUGCUGUAAAGUCAGAGAACUGGUGAGCAGUUAACAGCCGCCAUCUCUCCAUAAUAUUAUGCAAUAAAAUCUCUUGAAGCAAAC